UAAUGAUACUCCUGUUCAGUCACAGGUCGAGCGUGAUAAAACCGUCGCAACCAAUGAGAGCAGCCGGUAGAGAACCUGCCGGGGGUGAGAUUCCCGUG
rnacentral:ncRNA from 1 species